rnacentral:rRNA from 1 species
UACGAAGGGGGCUAGCGUUGCUCGGAUUUACUGGGCGUAAAGGGCGCGUAGGCGGACAUUUAAGUCAGGGGUGAAAUCCCGGGGCUCAACCUCGGAACUGCCUUUGAUACUGGAUGUCUUGAGUGUGAGAGAGGUGUGUGGAACUCCGAGUGUAGAGGUGAAAUUCGUAGAUAUUCGGAAGAACACCAGUGGCGAAGGCGACACACUGGCUCACUACUGACGCUGAGGCGCGAAAGCGUGGGGAGCAAACAGG